UAGGCGGUCAACAGAGGGAUGCAAAACCGCGAGGUGGAGCGAACCCCUAAAAGCCGUCCCAGUUCAGAUCGCAGUCUGCAACCCGACUGCGUGAAGUCGGAAUCGCUAGUAAUCGCGGAUCAGCAUGCCGCGGUGAAUACGUUCCCGGGCCUUGUACACACCGCCCGUCACACCAUGAGAGUCGGGAACACCCGAAGUCCGUAGCCUAACCGCAAGGGGGGCGCGGCCGAAGGUGGGUUCGAUAAUUGGGGUGAAGUCGUAACAAGGUAUC
rnacentral:rRNA from 1 species